CAAGUACACAGAGGCCAAAGGAAGAUGUCAUAUAUCCUGCCCUGUCACUGCCUGACUUAUUUCCUGGAGACAGGGGCUCUCACUGAGCCUGGAGCUGUGUUGGUGACUAGCAAGCCCCAGUGAUCCCACAGAACAGGGACUUUUAUGUUGGUAUUGGGGAUCAUAACUCACGUUUGUGUAGCAAUUGCUUGUGCUGUGUAACUCUGAGCCACCUCUCCAGCUUAGGAAUAUUAUUUUAUAAUUUGAAAGAUCUAAAAAUGCAUUUUCUUUUGUAGUUAUAGAAGGUGCUCUUGGCUAGAGUGGAGGAGUGGCUAGGGAGAUGACUCAGUUGGUUAAAGCACUUGCUGCUCUGGCAGAAGACCUGAGUUUGGUUCUCAGCACCUGCUUGGCAGCUUAUAACCGUCCACAGUAUCUCCAGUUCCAGGAGAUCUGAGGUCCUCUUCUGCUCUCCAUGACCAUGCAUGCAUGUGGUGUACAUUCACACAUGCAUGUAAAAAACCAUGUACAUAAAAGAAAGAGAGGAAAAAACAGAUGCUCCGUUUAUUAUUUAUUUAUUUAAUCGUGGUGCCAGUGGUCAGAGCCUCGUGCAUGCCAAAUGAAUGGCCUGGCACAUGUCCAUCCCAACCCUAAGGAUGCUCCUUUUAAAGCUUCAGAGUGGGACUAGCAGGAUGGCCCAGUAGGUAAAUAAAUGGUGGUUAUCACCAAGCCUGUUGACCGACCCAAGUUCCAUUUCUAGGACUCAUGGUGGAAAGAGAGAGCCAGCUCCCAGAAGUUAUCUACUGACCUAUACACAGACAAGAAAAAAAAAUUUUUUUUUUAAUCCUUAAAGAGUUCAGGGUAGCAAGAACAAAGUACAGCGACUGUGCUACACGUGUGAGUUUUACAGGGAGAAGAGGGUGGUUCUGAAAUGGUCAAAGACCAUUGCAGAGACGGAAGAGGAGGGUGGAGAAACUGAAUUUUGACUCACAGCUGAGUAAAGUUUUGGUGCUGGCUGUUGGAUUCUCGGAUAAUGAUUUACCAGGACAGGGACUUGUUAGGUCUUGCUUCGGGUGUUAGAACACUUUUGCCAAAUUAGACAGUGCUGAGCGGCACAUGACAGUUUGCUGGCUACUUUUCAUAAGCACUUACUAGAUCUAAAGCAUUGUGGGAAUCUACAGUGGUGUGGGUAUUACUGAUGUGCGUUACCCUUGGGUUAUCGUCCCUCUGGUGGAACACUGAUCCCACGUUGUCAAUCUGCGUUGAGCAAUAGAUAACGCUCCACUAGAAAAGGUCAGGCGUCCUCUUCUGACCAAAUGCUCAUUCUUUCCUUUCCUUUCCUUUCCUUUCCUUUCCUUCCCUUUUCCCUUUUCCCUUUUCCCUUUUCCCUUUUCCCUUUUCCCUUUUCCCUUUUCUCUUCUUUUCCUUCUUCCUUCCUUCCUUCCUUCCUUCCUUCCUUCCUUCCUUCCUUUCAAUGGUGGACCAAGAUGUACAAUUGUAUGUUGAUCUGGUAGAGACCUGGAAUAGAGUCAGACGUGUGGGUUAAAUGAGGACCUAACUAACUAAUCCAGCAAGGUAAAGAAGAAUCGUAUUCUCCCAAGGCCUAGACACUUUUCCUUUCUGUCAGCACUUGGUGGUAUUUCGGGAGCACCGGACAUCAACAUCUUUGAAUGUUAGUUACAGCACAGAUAGGGGACUGUACAUCCCCUGACAGUUCUCUAGGAACCAUGAAGACAUCCCUUUAAAUGAAGCAUGGGCCACCAACCUGCUCAGCAGCCAGGGUGCACGUACCCUAUGAAGGAAGUUUUUCAACACCGGAAGUUGUGUGUUAUCUGCACAUGGACUGGAUUGCCCACUGACUCAUACAAACAUCGGAAAAAAGGACUGAAGAAAGGCGGGUUUCAGGAACCAACUCCAGCCCACUUACGGCUUUUGAGCAGCUUGAAAGAAGAUAAUUCUAGAAAUGAGUGACGAGAUCCUAGUCAUUUCUACAUUUGUCUGUAGACAUUCAUCGUCUUUAUUAACCUGUCUGCUUGGGGAAUGGUAUUUGAGCUAUUGUCCAUCACUGUAGCAGCUAGUAAUCUACUUGUGGUCAGAGUUUUUACCUGUGGGUACAGAAAUCACAUCAGUAGUAGAUGGAAGAGAAACCACUCAUCAAGACAGUGAUGUCCCACACACCCGCAGAAAUUGACUUUCAUUAAACAAUCACUAAAAGAGUGUGGUACCCACC
rnacentral:lncRNA from 1 species